ACGGGUGAGUAAUACAUCGGAACGUGCCCAAUCGUGGGGGAUAACGCAGCGAAAGCUGUGCUAAUACCGCAUACGAUCUACGGAUGAAAGCAGGGGAUCGCAAGACCUUGCGCGAAUGGAGCGGCCGAUGGCAGAUUAGGUAGUUGGUGAGGUAAAGGCUCACCAAGCCUUCGAUCUGUAGCUGGUCUGAGAGGACGACCAGCCACACUGGGACUGAGACACGGCCCAGACUCCUACGGGAGGCAGCAGUGGGGAAUUUUGGACAAUGGGCGCAAGCCUGAUCCAGCCAUGCCGCGUGCAGGAUGAAGGCCUUCGGGUUGUAAACUGCUUUUGUACGGAACGAAACGGCCUUUUCUAAUAAAGAGGGCUAAUGACGGUACCGUAAGAAUAAGCACCGGCUAACUACGUGCCAGCAGCCGCGGUAAUACGUAGGGUGCAAGCGUUAAUCGGAAUUACUGGGCGUAAAGCGUGCGCAGGCGGUUAUGUAAGACAGUUGUGAAAUCCCCGGGCUCAACCUGGGAACUGCAUCUGUGACUGCAUAGCUAGAGUACGGUAGAGGGGGAUGGAAUUCCGCGUGUAGCA
rnacentral:rRNA from 1 species